UACGUAGGCAGCAAGCGUUGUUCGGAGUUACUGGGCGUAAAGAGUGCGUAGGCGGUUUCGUAAGUUUGGUGUGAAAUCUCCCGGCUUAACUGGGAGGGUGCGCCGAAAACUGCGGGGCUGGAGUGUGGGAGAGGUAAGCGAAAUUCCUGGUGUAGCGGUGAAAUGCGUAGAUAUCAGGAGGAACACCGGCGGUGUAGACGGCUUACUGGACCAUGACUGACGCUGAGGCACGAAAGCGUGGGGAGCAAACAGG
rnacentral:rRNA from 1 species